GCGCGGGUGGCGGAACCGGUAGACGCAGGGGACUUAAAAUCCCCCGGAUCACAUCCGUGCGGGUUCGAUCCCCGCCCCGCGCACCA
rnacentral:tRNA from 1 species